UAGUACUCCCUCCGUCCCUAA
rnacentral:miRNA from 1 species